CCCUAACCCAACCCUAACCGAGCCCUAACCCAGUCCAGCCCUAAUACAGCGCUCACCCAAACCAACCACAGCCCAACCCCAACCCAGCCUAAACUUAACCCAGCCCCAAGCCCAGUCCUACCCUCACCAGGCCCUGCCUGACCCACCCAUUCCAUGAUGACUAUGCAAUUUACAAAAUGACAAGCUGGCUGAAACCCUGCCCCAAAGAAUCCCCAGCCUGUGCCUGCUGCAUUAUUAAUCAGAUAUUGAUGAGGGCCUAAUAUACGCAUGCCACCCCGCUCUGCUCGGCUCCGCUCACCAUCCCAAUGACAUCCUUGUGUGCAUCCCAAAUGGCACCCUAUUUGCUACACAGUGCACUCCUUUUGAACAGAGCCCAGGGCUUUGGUAUAAAGUAGUGCACUCUGUUGACAAUAGUGUGCCAUUUGGAACACAGCCCUUGUUGUCUCCAGCCCCCGAGCCUCCACAGACAGACACACUCGACCAACCGACUCCAUCUCUGUCCCAUACGUCCAUCCAUUUGUCUGUCCCAUACGUCAUCUCUGUCCCAUACGUUUGUCCCAUACCUCUGUCCCAUUUCUCUGUCCCAUUUGUCUGUCCCAUACGUCUGUCCCAUACGUCUGUCCAUUUGCCUGUCCCAUACAUCUGUCCAUUUGUCUGUCCCAUACGUCCUCUCUGUCCCAUACGUGGGUCUCCCUAUGCGUCUCCCUAUGGGUCCUGACUAGAGCCCUAUGGGUCUCCCUAUGGGUCUCCCUAUGGGUCCUGACUAGAGCCCUAUGGGUCUCCCUAUGGGUCCUGACCUAAAGACUAUGGGUCUCCCUAUUGGUCCUGACCAGAACCCUAUGGACCCUGGUCAAAAGUAGUGAACUAUGUAGGAAAUAGGGUGCCUGUUAAUUGGUGUUUUACACUGUGUGACAGUCGACUGUUUCCUCUGGCCAGACACCAACGUGUCAUAAUGAACACACAUCGCAGGUGUAACCUUCAUAGGAAACUGAUGGGAAACUGAUGGAGGGUCUUCAUAGGAAACUGAUGGAGGGUAUUCAUAGGAAACUGAUAGGAAACUGAUAGAGGGUCUUCAUAGGAAACUGAUGGAGGGUCUUCAUAGGAAACUGAUAGGAAACUGAUAGAGGGUCUUCAUAGGAAACUGAUGGAGGGUCUUCAUAGGAAACUGAUGGAGGGUAUUCAUAGGAAACUGAUGGGAAACUGAUGGAGGGUCUUCAUAGGAAACUGAUGGAGGGUCUUCAUAGGAAACUGAUGGAGGGUCUUCAUAGGAAACUGAUGGAGGGUCUUCAUAGGAAACUGAUGGAGGGUAUUCAUAGGAAACUGAUGGGAAACUGAUGGAGGGUCUUCAUAGGAAACUGAUGGAGGGUAUUCAUAGGAAACUGAUGGAGGGUCUACAUAGGAAACUGAUGGAGGGUCUACAUAGAAAACUGAUGAUCUACAUAGGAAACUGAUGGAGGGUCUACAUAGGAAGCUGAUGGGAAACUGAUGGAGGGUCUUCAUAGGAAAAUGAUGGAGGGUCUUCAUAGGAAACUGAUGGAGGGUCUACAUAGGAAACUGAUGAUCUUCAUAGGAAACUCAUGGAGGGUCUACAUAGGAAACUGAUGAUCUACAUAGGAAACUGAUGGAGGGUCUUCAUAGGAAACUGAUGGAGGGUCUACAUAGGAAACUGAUGGAGGGUCAACAUAGGAAACUGAUGGAGGGUCAACAUAGGAAACUGAUGGAGGGUCUACAUAGGAAACUGAUGUAGGGUCUACAUAGGAAACUGAUGUAGGGUCUACAUAGGAAACUGAUGGAGGGUCAACAUAGGAAACUGAUGGAGGGUCAACAUAGGAAACUGAUGGAGGGUCUACAUAGGAAACUGACGGAGGGUCUUCAUAGGAAACUGAUGGAGGGUCUUCAUAGGAAACUGAUGGAGGGUCUUCAUUGGAAACUGAUGGAGGGUCUACAUAGGAAACUGAUGGAGGGUCUUCAUUGGAAACUGAUGGAGGGUCUACAUAGGAAAUUGAUGGAGGGUCGUCAUAGGAAACUGAUGGAGGGUUCUGAACCUCAUAAGUGAAUUAGUGACAUAGUUACGAUUCCUUAUUUCCUUCUCUUCUGGCGUUGAUAUGAAACUCAAAAGUAAUUCAGAGAGGGUUUGCUUUCUAAAAUUUGAUAUAUUCAAACUUGAAACUUCACAAAAAUGGUCAAAUUUUGCACUGCACACUAAAUCUGCAAUGCAAAAUCAGCUGAGCAAACUAACGUCACUCAAUCAAGCCUUUCCUCUCCAGACAGUGAGAGAAACAGACGAACAGACAGACAGACAGACCACUAGCGCCUGUCCAUAUCUUCACCAUCAUUCCUGGCAGCCACACACAUACCACUUAAUAAAUUGCACCUUUUCACAAAAGGAAAAGGUGAUGAAUUUAAAAAUGUUUAGCCUUAUGAAUAAUAGAUUACCAGUCUCUCUCUUGGCCCCGGCCCGGCCUCUCAGCCUACAGCUCGAAUCAGCUGCUCAUUAAUAAUUAAAUGUAAUCUCAUUAUGGGGAGUUUUCAUUAUGGGAUAAUAUAAUUAAAUGAAGAGAACCAAGGACCUGGGAGGGAGAGGGAGGCUGGGGGCCACUGGGGCCCAGUGAAAAGGCCUCUUAAUGGGCCCAGGACAGGAGAGAAGCCUGGUAAUGCACAGCACUCCAUACAUUAUUUAAUGGCUCCCUGGCUCUAAGGAAGGAUCGAUCGAUGAUAACUUGUCAUCUCAUCAAUGGGUUGAAAGCAUUCCUGAGCCCACUUGCUGCAUAGCAGAAUAUUUCCAAGAAUCUGUCACAGAGAAACAGAAAAGAGGUGUCAUUCUGUGAUGUGGAGAUGGGCAACUCUGCUUGGACUGUAGUUGUCUCUGCUUGGACUGUAGCUGUCUCUGCUUGGACUGUAGUUGUCUCUGCUUGGACUGUAGUUGUCUCUGCUUGGACUGUCUCUGCUUGGGCUGUAGUUGUCUCUGCUUGGGCUGUAGUUGUCUCUGCUUGGGCUGUAGUUGUCUCUGCUUGGGCUGUAGUUGUCUCUGCUUGGGCUGUAGUUGUCUCUGCUUGGGCUGUAGUUGCAAUGUGUUUUAUUUAGGCUCUUUGAAAUGAAACCCUUGGUAUUUAGCGUCACUGGAUGGAUGAGGCUUCCUGCUGAUUGAGACGGCGUGAGGGAGGGAAACACAGUCCCAAAUGGCACCCUAUUCCCUGAGCCCAUAGGCUCUGGUCAAAAGUAGUGCACUAUAUAGGGAAUAGGGUGCCAUUUGGGAUCCAGUCAAUGAACGUACAGUUAGGUCAAACACCUCAGCGGAAACGGUGAAGGGUACGAGGCAUAUAUUUGAUACGAACACAUACAUUGAUACCACAGUCUGAUGGGAGCCAUUAGAUAGGGAGG
rnacentral:lncRNA from 1 species